rnacentral:rRNA from 1 species
GACGAACGCUGGCGGCGUGCUUAACACAUGCAAGUCGAACGGAAAGGCCCUGCUUUUGUGGGCUGCUCGAGUGGCGACCGGGUGAGUAACACGUGAGUUCCCUGUCCUUGACUUUGGGAUAACUUCAGGAAACUGGGGCUCAUACCGGCUAGGAGCUCUCGCUGCAUGGUGGGGGUUGGUAAGUUUCGGUGGUUGGGGAUGGACUGGCGGCCUAUCAGCUUGUUGGUGGGGUAGUGGCUUACCAAGGCUUUGACGGGUAGCAGGCCUGGGAGGGUGACCGGCCACAUUGGAACGGGAAUACGGCCCGGACUCCUACGGGACGCAGCAGUGGGGAAUAGUGCACUAUGGGCGGAAGGCUGAUGCAGCAACGCCGCGUGCGGUGUGACGGCCUGCGGGUUGGAUUCCGCAGUCGCCUGUGACGAAGCGUGAAUGACGGUAAUGGGUAAAGAAGCACCGGCUAACUACGUG